rnacentral:rRNA from 1 species
UACGAAGGGGGGCUAGCGUUGCUCGGAAUGACUGGGCGUAAAGGGCGCGUAGGCGGAUGGCACAGUCAGAUAUGAAAUUCCCGGGCUUAACCUGGGGGCUGCAUUUGAUACGUGUGAUCUAGAGUGAGGAAGAGGGUCGUGGAAUUCCCAGUGUAGAGGUGAAAUUCGUAGAUAUUGGGAGGAACACCGGUGGCGAAGGCGGGUCUCUGGGCCGUAACUGACGCUGAGGAGCGAAAGCGUGGGGAGCAAACAGG